rnacentral:rRNA from 1 species
AACGAACGCUGGCGGCAUGCCUAACACAUGCAAGUCGAACGAGACCUUCGGGUCUAUUGGCGCACGUGUGCGUACCGCGUGGGAACCUGCCCUUAGGUUCGGAAUAACUCCCCGAAAGGUAUGCUCAUACCGGAUAAUCUCUUCGGACCAAAGAUUUAUCGCCUUUGGAUGGGCCCGCGUUGGAUUAGCUAGUUGGUAGUGUAAAAGCCUACCAAGGAGACGAUCCAUAGCUGGUCUGUGAGGAUGAUCAUCCACACUGGGACUGCGACACGGACCAGAAUCCGACGGGAGGCAGAAGUGGGGAAUAUUGGACAAUGGGCGAAAGUCUGAUCCAGCAAUGCCGCGUGAGAGAGGAAGGGGUUAGGGUUGUAAAGCUGUUUUACACGGGAUGAUAAUGACAGUACCGGGAGAAUAAGCUCCGGCUAACUCCGUG